GGUGGCUCAGUGGUAGAGCGCUUGUCUUGCAUGCAUGAGGCCCUGGGUUCAAUUCCUCAGUACCA
rfam:Dipodomys ordii contig_17739, whole genome shotgun sequence.